CCCUUAGAUGUUCUGGGCCGCACGCGCGCUACACUGAUGAAUUCAACGAGUUUUCCACCUUGACCGAGAGGUCCGGGAAAUCUUUUCAACUUUCAUCGUGCUGGGGAUAGAUUAUUGCAAUUGUUAAUCUUCAACGAGGAAUUCCUAGUAAACGCAAAUCAUCAGCUUGCAUUGAUUACGUCCCUGCCCUUUGUACACACCGCCCGUCGCACCUACCGAUUGAAUGGUCCGGUGAAAUCUUCGGAUCUGAGAGAUGUCUGAUUAAUUUCGGACGCCUUUUGGAAAAGUUGCUUAAACCUUACCAUUUAGAGGAAGGUGAAGUCGUANCA
rnacentral:rRNA from 1 species